GUGUGUUAGUGGAAGCGUCUGGAAAGGCGCGCGAUACAGGGUGACAGCCCCGUACACAAAAAUGCACAUGCUGUGAGCUCGAUGAGUAGGGCGGGACACGUGGUAUCCUGUCUGAAUAUGGGGGGACCAUCCUCCAAGGCUAAAUACUCCUGACUGACCGAUAGUGAACCAGUACCGUGAGGGAAAGGCGAAAAGAACCCCGGCGAGGGGAGUGAAAAAGAACCUGAAACCGUGUACGUACAAGCAGUGGGAGCACGCUUAGGCGUGUGACUGCGUACCUUUUGUAUAAUGGGUCAGCGACUUAUAUUCUGUAGCAAGGUUAACCGAAUAGGGGAGCCGAAGGGAAACCGAGUCUUAACUGGGCGUUAAGUUGCAGGGUAUAGACCCGAAACCCGGUGAUCUAGCCAUGGGCAGGUUGAAGGUUGGGUAACACUAACUGGAGGACCGAACCGACUAAUGUUGAAAAAUUAGCGGAUGACUUGUGGCUGGGGGUGAAAGGCCAAUCAAACCGGGAGAUAGCUGGUUCUCCCCGAAAGCUAUUUAGGUAGCGCCUCGUGAAUUCAUCUCCGGGGGUAGAGCACUGUUUCGGCAAGGGGGUCAUCCCGACUUACCAACCCGAUGCAAACUACGAAUACCGGAGAAUGUUAUCACGGGAGACACACGGCGGGUGCUAACGUCCGUCGUGAAGAGGGAAACAACCCAGACCGCCAGCUAAGGUCCCAAAGUCAUGGUUAAGUGGGAAACGAUGUGGGAAGGCCCAGACAGCCAGGAUGUUGGCUUAGAAGCAGCCAUCAUUUAAAGAAAGCGUAAUAGCUCACUGGUCGAGUCGGCCUGCGCGGAAGAUGUAACGGGGCUAAACCAUGCACCGAAGCUGCGGCAGCGACGCUUAUGCGUUGUUGGGUAGGGGAGCGUUCUGUAAGCCUGCGAAGGUGUGCUGUGAGGCAUGCUGGAGGUAUCAGAAGUGCGAAUGCUGACAUAAGUAACGAUAAAGCGGGUGAAAAGCCCGCUCGCCGGAAGACCAAGGGUUCCUGUCCAACGUUAAUCGGGGCAGGGUGAGUCGACCCCUAAGGCGAGGCCGAAAGGCGUAGUCGAUGGGAAACAGGUUAAUAUUCCUGUACUUGGUGUUACUGCGAAGGGGGGACGGAGAAGGCUAUGUUGGCCGGGCGACGGUUGUCCCGGUUUAAGCGUGUAGGCUGGUUUUCCAGGCAAAUCCGGAAAAUCAAGGCUGAGGCGUGAUGACGAGGCACUACGGUGCUGAAGCAACAAAUGCCCUGCUUCCAGGAAAAGCCUCUAAGCAUCAGGUAACAUCAAAUCGUACCCCAAACCGACACAGGUGGUCAGGUAGAGAAUACCAAGGCGCUUGAGAGAACUCGGGUGAAGGAACUAGGCAAAAUGGUGCCGUAACUUCGGGAGAAGGCACGCUGAUAUGUAGGUGAAGUCCCUCGCGGAUGGAGCUGAAAUCAGUCGAAGAUACCAGCUGGCUGCAACUGUUUAUUAAAAACACAGCACUGUGCAAACACGAAAGUGGACGUAUACGGUGUGACGCCUGCCCGGUGCCGGAAGGUUAAUUGAUGGGGUCAGCGCAAGCGAAGCUCUUGAUCGAAGCCCCGGUAAACGGCGGCCGUAACUAUAACGGUCCUAAGGUAGCGAAAUUCCUUGUCGGGUAAGUUCCGACCUGCACGAAUGGCGUAAUGAUGGCCAGGCUGUCUCCACCCGAGACUCAGUGAAAUUGAACUCGCUGUGAAGAUGCAGUGUACCCGCGGCAAGACGGAAAGACCCCGUGAACCUUUACUAUAGCUUGACACUGAACAUUGAGCCUUGAUGUGUAGGAUAGGUGGGAGGCUUUGAAGUGUGGACGCCAGUCUGCAUGGAGCCGACCUUGAAAUACCACCCUUUAAUGUUUGAUGUUCUAACGUUGACCCGUGAUCCGGGUUGCGGACAGUGUCUGGUGGGUAGUUUGACUGGGGCGGUCUCCUCCUAAAGAGUAACGGAGGAGCACGAAGGUUGGCUAAUCCUGGUCGGACAUCAGGAGGUUAGUGCAAUGGCAUAAGCCAGCUUGACUGCGAGCGUGACGGCGCGAGCAGGUGCGAAAGCAGGUCAUAGUGAUCCGGUGGUUCUGAAUGGAAGGGCCAUCGCUCAACGGAUAAAAGGUACUCCGGGGAUAACAGGCUGAUACCGCCCAAGAGUUCAUAUCGACGGCGGUGUUUGGCACCUCGAUGUCGGCUCAUCACAUCCUGGGGCUGAAGUAGGUCCCAAGGGUAUGGCUGUUCGCCAUUUAAAGUGGUACGCGAGCUGGGUUUAGAACGUCGUGAGACAGUUCGGUCCCUAUCUGCCGUGGGCGCUGGAGAACUGAGGGGGGCUGCUCCUAGUACGAGAGGACCGGAGUGGACGCAUCACUGGUGUUCGGGUUGUCAUGCCAAUGGCACUGCCCGGUAGCUAAAUGCGGAAGAGAUAAGUGCUGAAAGCAUCUAAGCACGAAACUUGCCCCGAGAUGAGUUCUCCCUGACUCCUUGA
rnacentral:rRNA from 1 species